AUGCGUCUGCAUCCGCACGACCCCCAACGAGGGCCCACAGGGGCUCGACCCACUGCGCGGGGAGGGAGGCCCGCGUGGUCGGGGCUCCCACCGGGCCAGGGGAGGGGGGGGCCCGCGUGGACGGAGCUCCCACCGGGCCAGCGGAGAGGGGGAGUCCGCGUGGACGGGGCUCCCACCGGGCCAGGGGAGAGGGGGAGUCCGCGUGGACGGGGCUCCCACCGGGCCAGGGGAGAGGGGGAGUCCGCGUGGACGGGGCUCCCACCGGGCCAGCGGAGAGGGGGAGUCCGCGUGGACGGGGCUCCCACCGGGCCAGCGGAGAGGGGGAGUCCGCGUGGACGGGGCUCCCACCGGGGCAGCGGAGAGGGGGAGUCCGCGUGGACGGGGCUCCCACCGGGCCAGCGGAGAGGGGGAGUCCGCGUGGACGGAGCUCCCACCGGGCCAGGGGAGAGGGGGAGUCCGCGUGGACGGGACUCCCACCGGGCCAGGGGAGAGGGGGAGUCCGCGUGGACGGGACUCCCACCGGGCCAGCGGAGAGGGGGAGUCCGCGUGGACGGAGCUCCCACCGGGCCAGCAGAGAGGGGGAGUCCGCGUGGACGGAGCUCCCACCGGGCCGGGAGAGAGGGGAGGUCCGCGUGGACGGAGCUCCCACCGGGCCAGGGGAGAGGGGGAGUCCGCGUGGACGGGGCUCCCACCGGGCCAGGGGGAGAGGGGGAGUCCGCGUGGACGGAGCUCCCACCGGGCCGGGGGAGAGGGGGAGUCCGCGUGGACGGAGCUCCCACCGGGCCGGGGGAGAGGGGGAGUCCGCGUGGACGGAGCUCCCACCGGGCCGGGGGAGAGGGGGAGUCCGCGUGGACGGGACUCCCACCGGGCCGGGGGAGAGGGGGAGUCCGCGUGGACGGGACUCCCACCGGGCUGGGGAAGAGCGGGAGGGCCCGUCUGGACGGGACUCCCACCGGGCCGGGGAGUCUUCCACCGGGCCGGCGGAAGCGGGGGCGUCCACACGGUCCCCACACGGCUGGGGUCCGCGCCCAGCCCAAAGGCCAUCCCCACCGCCCCCAGCCGCCCGCCCGCCGCCUUCCGGCAAAAUGGAGGCGGACGCCGCCGCCGACGCCGCCUGACGCGGGCCCGUGA
rnacentral:lncRNA from 1 species